rnacentral:rRNA from 1 species
UACGUAGGGGGCAAGCGUUGUCCGGAUUUAUUGGGCGUAAAGCGCUCGCAGGUGGCUCGUCGCGUUGUGCGUGAAAGACCCCGGCUCAACUGGGGAGGGUCGUGCGAUACGGGCGGACUGGAGGCCAGUAGGGGGAUGCGGAAUUCCGGGUGUAGUGGUGGAAUGCGUAGAGAUCCGGAGGAACACCAGCGGCGAAGGCGGGUAGCUGGGCCGACACUGACGCUGAGGCGCGAAAGCCAGGGGAGCGAACGGG